GCUUUAAGAGACUUCCAUAAAGGAGCUUUGUGAUGACCUCGAACAGAUCCUAAAUAGGCUCAGAAAAUCCAUUGCUACUAGUCAAGUCAAAACUAUCGGGGCCAACAGGUUAGUGCAAGGGGCUGGUGAUGUGUUAGAAUGAACAUCGAUGGAUGCCCUUUUUGCUACUUUAAAACUAACUUUACAGGACGGGAGUUGUACGGAAAUGAUUGUACAUACCUUUCACAGCGCGGAGAGAUUCAGACUCGAAGAACAAAAUGGAAAAAGUUACGAAAACAUAAUAAUCAAUAAAUAAAUAUUCGUAAUUAAGGCAAGAAAUCAUAUCAAUAUCUGUAUUAAAGAUAAGAUAAUUUAUGACUAAACAUACUUCCACAUCAUAUAUUAAAAAGUGCGAUUUACAGGAGAUUGUUCGACAAAGUGCAAAGCAUCGUACAUCAAUUUUUUGUGGUAAAAAAACGAGAAGUUCGAUAAUUGUGAUAUAUUUUCGGCGACAAAACGACAAAUCCACG